UACGGAGGAGGCAAGCGUUGUCCGGAAUUACUGGGUGUAAAGGGCGUGUAGGCGGGACUGCAAGUCAGAUGUGAAAAUCCAGGGCUCAACCUGGGGGCUGCAUCUGAAACUGUGGUUCUUGAGUGCGGGAGAGGAUAGCGGAAUUCCUAGUGUAGCGGUGAAAUGCGUAGAUAUUAGGAGGAACACCAGUGGCGAAGGCGGCGUUCUGGACAGUAACUGACGCUGAGGCGCGAAAGCUUGGGGAGCAAACAGG
rnacentral:rRNA from 1 species